AGGGGUUGAGACAGGGCAGAGAGGAGGGCUGCAGACAGAGAGGUGCACAGCCCCGUUCAUUCAGUCCAGGGAACACACAUCCAAGGCCCCUGAGUCCGGCGAUUCUUGCAGGCCCAGCCUCCUUUCCUGGGUGUCGCUUACUGAGGGUCCUCGCUCUCAGGCACAUGGCUAGCUGACGAGUCCUGGAAACGAACCCAUUCCGAUAUCCAUCACCUCCCACGGUGUGGUGCAGAACAAACUCCGAAGUGCUGAGCGGGUCACACAAACUCACCUCCACCGGCCACGGCGACCUUCUCCUGAGUUCUUGCCCUCCUACGGAAUUCAGUGUUCACUGCUGGCUCCCUGACUUUUCCAACCUUCCUGGUUUUGCUCAAGCUCCUUCCUGGCAUAACUCUCCCCUCCUACCUGUGCCAGCACGACGCUGACCCUCUCGCACAUCGCCAUGGUUUCCUGCACCGCCACGGAGCAAGGCCCCUCAAUCCGGGGACGACGCACAGGGUAGGGGGCUGCAGGUCAGAGGUGGAGGAGGAGCCGUCGCGGGCGAGAAGGGCAGGGAAGUUGUGUCCUGGACAUAGGGCGGUCUCAUCGCUUCUUCCUCCGGCCCCUUCUGUCCGUGUCCUGAAUUCGUUUUCUGGCCGUGGACAGAGCGAUGAGG
rnacentral:lncRNA from 1 species